CGGUGAAGGAUUCAGGAUUAUCCGGCAUGGAAAUAACGUUUUAAACGUACUAUAUAAAACGGUGUUCAAUAUUCAUACUACAUGAUGGGCAUAUGGCCAAACAAACACCUUGACCUUGCGCUUUUUUGCUCGAAUUUUAUACACACGCAUGAUUUUGUAUACAUAAUAUAAAUUUAAAUCUAGCAAUUCAAACCCAAAACUGAUGGAGUCAUGCAUGACAUCUAUCCAUAAUUCAUAUUUUCUCGAAAUGUUAGGUGAUUCAUUGUUAUUGCCGUUGUUGUAGCCCAGUAAACAGACACACACCGCCGUUUAGACAUGUCACAUGUCGUUCUUGUUCCUUUUAUAUACAACAUACGACAGACGGCAAAGCUUCGUAUUGCUUCUCUUUAAUUUCCAGUCCGGCUUUGUCCAGUCUUUGAAGUGAUUUUACAAGCGCGUGUUGAAACAGGUCAUCUGUACAAGAACCCAUGUUUCGAAUCACAGCAACCUCUUCGAGCACAUUUCGAGCGACUCGAUCAUGUUUACAUCAUACGUGAAAAUUGAUACAUGUAAUACGAGACCGAAAUGUGGUUGUAUUUUGACGAAUAUUAACGAUACAACGAAAUAUAAAACCCCAGUAGGUAUAAUUCCAUUAGGUGGUCUACACAUAUUCCCUUGAUGGUGGAAAAUACAUCAAAACAAAAGGAAAAUCCAAUAUUUUCUUCUCACCAACACGUCUCCACUCCUCAGUAAAAAUUAAUGCACAGUCAGCAUUUUUAGCUGCAGUAGAGCACGUUUACUUCCGGAAAACACCAGAAUUUGUGGUGUUCCGGUUUGGCUUGUCCCAG